rnacentral:rRNA from 1 species
CGUAGGAGGCGAGCGUUGUCCGGAUUCAUUGGGCGUAAAGAGCGCGCAGGCGGCUUGGUAAGUCGGAUGUGAAAACCCGAGGCUCAACCUCGGGCGUGCAUCCGAUACUGCUCGGCUAGAGGUAGGUAGGGGAGAUCGGAAUUCCUGGUGUAGCGGUGAAAUGCGCAGAUAUCAGGAGGAACACCGGUGGCGAAGGCGGAUCUCUGGGCCUUACCUGACGCUCAGGCGCGAAAGCUAGGGGAGCGAACUGGAUUAGAUACCCAGGUAGUCCUAGCUGUAACGUUGGGUGCUAGGUGUGGGCGGAUAUCGACCCCGUCCGUGCCGAAGCUAACGCAUUAAGCACCCGCCUGGGGAGUACGGCCGCAAGGCUA